CCUACGGGAGGCAGCAGUGGGGAAUAUUGCACAAUGGGCGAAAGCCUGAUGCAGCAACGCCGCGUGAGCGAUGAAGGCCUUCGGGUCGUAAAGCUCUGUCCUCAAGGAAGAUAAUGACGGUACUUGAGGAGGAAGCCCCGGCUAACUACGGGCCAGCAGCCGCGAUAAUACGUAGGGGGCUAGGGUUAUCCGGAAUUACUGGGCGAAAAGGGUGCGUGGGUGGUUUCUUAAGUCAGAGGUGAAAGGCUACGGAUAAACCGUAGUAAGCAUUUGAAACUGGGAAACGUGAGUGCAGGAGAGGAGAGUGGAAUUCCUGGUGUAGCGGUGAAAUGCGUAGAUAUUAGGAGGAACACCAGUUGCGAAGGCGGCUCUCUGGACUGUAACUGACACUGAGGCACGAAAGCGUGGGGAGCAAACAGGAUUAGAUACCCUUGUAGUC
rnacentral:rRNA from 1 species